UGGACCAAUGAUGAGCACUGUGGGGCAUCUGAAUAAAAUACUUGAUUAAACCCAGUUGGGAACUGAGUUCCAC